GUUUUCAGCCUUCGGGUUUUGUAAUUUAGUGACCCCUAUUGGUGACCUGCGUAUAUUUAAGCAGAGCACAUGUUGUUCAGCCAUUUUGUUGGUAGCUGUUUGAGAGUGCACAUCUAUGACACAAAUCUUCAUUCACACUUCAUUUAUCCUUGGAAAAAGCAUUGUCUUUUUACACCGCUUCCAUUAGAUUGUACUUGGAUUAGUUCUGUCUUCAAGUCCUUUUUGGAGGAGUGUUAAGCUUGCUGCAUAGCUAUGUCUGUCUACACAUAGUGAGGGCAGUACACCAAGAUUGCAAGUACACCAAGUUGAGAACAGCACAAUAAACACACAGAAUAAAAGAAACACACAGGACAACAGAAAAGUGAUGUACAGGAAAGCCAAAGAUCCUGCAGUCUUGGAUUUUGGUGCAUGUGACUCGAAAGCCCUAGGCCGCAUUUUUUUAAAUAAAU